rnacentral:rRNA from 1 species
AGCGAACGCUGGCGGCAGGCCUAACACAUGCAAGUCGAACGAACCUUUCGGGGUUAGUGGCGGACGGGUGAGUAACACGUGGGAACGUGCCUUUAGGUUCGGAAUAACUCAGGGAAACUUGUGCUAAUACCGAAUGUGCCCUUCGGGGGAAAGAUUAAUCGCCUUUAGAGCGGCCCGCGUCUGAUUAGCUAGUUGGUUGAGGUAAUGGCUCACCAAGGCGACGAUCAGUAGCUGGUCUGAGAGGAUGAUCAGCCACAUUGGGACUGAGACACGGCCCAAACUCCUACGGGAGGCAGCAGUGGGGAAUCUUGCGGAAUGGGCGAAAGCCUGACGAAGCCAUGCCGCGUGAAUGAUGAAGGGCUUAGGAUUGUAAAAUUCUUUCACCGGGGACGAGAAUGACGGUACCCGGAGAAGAAGCACCGGCUAACUACGUG